CACAAAGGAAACCCGCGUGUUUCUUUGAGGUUCCUCAUGAAUAUGAUUAAUAUCGUUUAAUAAUCUAUACUAGAUCUAUUGUUCGAACCAGAAUGACUUUUCAUGUGAAUUUGUAAGCGAUCGCUCACACAUUUUGAUCCCACUUCUAGCUACAUCACUGCGCAGGGAAUCUGCUUGUAGCUGCAUUGUUGGAUUUGGUGGAUGCCACAUGUUUCGUUACUACUGUUAGCUAGCUUGGGAGUUCUUUUUACGUCGCUGGCGGUCGCUGCCCACGGUUCCUACACUGGCAAUAUUGAAUUAACAUAGAGGUCAGACUGGCGAUUAUCUGGUGAUUAAAAAAACACAAGUGGUAAUUGGAUGAGACAAUGUUUUAUGUUGUCACGUGGGAUCCAAGAAUUCCAGCCCCACUGUAUUGG
ensembl:lncRNA